GUUGGAGGGAAAUAAUUCCUGUUCCAGAGCAUGAGUGAAGUUAGUUUUUUUUUCAUUUUCACUUAUGAGAGUAUCAACCUUGUAAAGCUACUGAAGUGAUCUGAGAGAAUCCAAUUAAUCUAACAAGAAACUGACAAAUUGAUUUAAGAAAAAAAGAUCAUUGGAACCAAUGGAGAGUAGUAAAAUAAGCACAUUCUUUAUCUUCUUCUGUAGAAAUGCACAACAGCUUGAUGUUAUUGACUGUCGAUUAUUUCCUGUGUUCCCCUGUGCAGGGAAUUUACCAGCCAGCUCCGGCUCUACAGAGCCUUUUACGGUGGCCUGACUGAUCAGCUCUGCAGUAAUGAGUUGGCAGCUGCCGAUGGACUCCCGUGUUGGAACAGAGAAGAUGUUGUAAGAAGCUAUACUCAUUAUGUGGUUGGCAGUGGAAUCAAAGCUCAGUCUUCAAAUCCAGAAGUAAAAGUGAAUGGAACAGAUCCUGUAAUAAGUCAAAUUAUUGACAAGCUGAAACAUGUUAUUCAGCUGUUGCAGGGCAAAUCAUUUCCUAAAUAUGAAAAAUGGGAUCUUCGACAAACAGGCAGUGGUAGAGGUGUAGAUGGACAAAUCAGUGGAGACUGUGAUGGUGAAGAUGGUUGCGGAGGAUCCAGAAGUGGAGAAGUCAAGACAGUCCUGAAAAUCACAGACUGUAAGUCCAUGAUUCUGUUUCCCUCAUGAACUAAAAUAAUGAAUUGGCAUAUUUUCUCCUAAUACAUACCACAGAAUUACCUUGGAAAACUUGUCUGUAUAAAUUUACCAGUAUUUAAAGGAAUAGGACUGCAAUUAUAGGCUUUCUAUGAGCAUGGUAUGAAUAUGAGUAUCAGUUUCAUCAUAACAUGUUAACACAUAUUUGGAAUAAUAUAGGCUGACCUCAACAAAGUGUUUUAGUCAGGUAGAAAGUGAUACAAUCUCAUAUCCCUGUGAGUUACUCCUUUAAUAUAAAAGGUGUGGCAGUUAAGCAGAAAAGUUCUAAUUUUUCAUGGAACUAUGGCCAAAUAUAAGGUUUAGUUUUGGUAUCUGACUUUCAUACA